rnacentral:lncRNA from 1 species
CUCUUGCCCUGUUCAUCUCCUCCAUUUGGCAGUUCCGCAGUUCCGUCCUUCCCAAUAGACAGGUAGGUGGGCCUUCCGGGAAGAUGGCGGAGCGGUAAACAGCAAUAAACAGAACUGGGAAUUAAACUCAGGAUCUUUGCACUGACCCACUUCCCAGAGGGUCUCCCUAGGCUCAAAUAUACAAUCCUCCUGGCUCAGCCUCCCAGCGUGCUCCCAGGCAUUCAUCACGACCCAGGAUGCCCAUGUUUCUAAGUACCACCUUCUUGUCAUACAUCACUGUCCCGACCGAAAUGGUAUCCUGGGGAAGAUGUCGGCAUGAUUCAGGAAAGGGGGAGCUCAGAGCAUCUGGGCAUGCACGGUUCAGCACCUUGAGGAAGCCAGAUGUUUUUGCCCGCAUACGCGUGUGAAUAUAGGCCUUGGAGCACUUGAUGUGGUAAUGCAGGUAGUCCCGGAACGUGUGGAUCAGGUUGACGGUGUUGUCUCAGGAACUGGCAUUGGUGUGGUGAGGGAACAGCACAAAGGUGACGUAGCCAGUGUUGUCGCCCACGGCCGCAUCUGUACCGUUCAGCUCCGGAGGAGGUUCCCUGUGGCUAAAGAGAACCUGGGGGCUGUGUGGCUGGCUCUGCGUCCUUCUUUGAACUCCUGCAUGAAC